UGUGUUGAGAUUCUUCUGAGAGAGAAAAUAUGCCUGGCUUAGCCCAGGAUCUCUUUAUUAAUUAACAUAGUUUGGUUGGUGUGGUUGAAAGUUACAAUGGGCGUAGACUAGGAUGGCAAGUUCUUAACCCAGUCCUGAUAACAUCAAUCAUGGUGCAAGAGACUAUCUAUCCCAUUGGUGCCCGUCACUCCAGGCUUCCAGCGGCUAAGCAAACACCGUUCCUCUGGAGUCCAGGAUCCAGGCUGGGGCUCACAGGGGCAGCAGUGUGGGACUGGAUGGAUACCCAAUACCGAGACCAGCACCUUUCAUCUCACUGUUCCUUGUCUGGAUGUCUAGCAACAAGAAUAAAUGUUUGGCCCACAGAAAGUA